AAUGUUCAGAAGUAUAUUAUCGAAAGUUUAAAAUUGAAAAUGGUAUUAGACUACCAGUAGGGGGAAAGAUUAAAUUCCAUUUUGAUUACAUCAAAGGAUAAUUAAAAGAAGAAGGCAUAAUAAGUCCUCCACAUAAUUUAAAACCUGCUGAAAAUCUGAAUUGUGCUUACGACGAGUCCAUAAAGCUAAAAUUAAAUUAUUUAGAAACAUGUUCAAAAGACCAGCUAAAAAUUAUUGAAUAUUGGUGUGACACAUUUGAAGCAAGACGAAAUAUAUUACAAAUUGAAAAAAGAAGUAUCCAAGAAUAUUUCAAAGCAUUCAAAGCUUUAAAAGAUCAGUUUGAAAGAGAGUUGAUCGAAUUGGAUUUUAAAAAACUUCAUCCCGGAAAAGAUAAAGCUCUAAUUGAAAAGUGGCCUUUAAUUAAAGAUCAUAUUAUCAAUCUGUUAAGAGCUUCAAAUCUUUCUAAGCACGACAGGCAGUACUUGGAUCUCUUACCAUCACUUAUCUCAGACAAUCAAACUGCUUUACUUUUUAUUUAUUGGUCAAUUUACUUCCUAUCAUUGAACCAAAGCCGUCGAAGAAAAGAAAACGCAAAUCUAACUCGAGUUACAAUGAUGACAAUUACUGUGAAUAUCAAAAUCAGGAAAGAACAAGCGAUGAUAAUAUAAGUAAAGAUCAAUCACGAAGUGAAGCAAACAGUAUAAAUUGUGUACGAAGAAAACUGCAAGAUAGCGAGAAACGCGAAUCAUAUGUGACUGUCCACGAGAAAACACGGCUUAGCUCCCAAACGUGAAUUUCACAGGGCGAGCGAUUGAAGUACUACGAUUGAAGUUAACUACGCUUGACAUACCCAUCUUUAAAACGAUAUAUUGUC